rnacentral:rRNA from 1 species
GCGGCGUGCCUAAUACAUGCAAGUCGAGCGAACGGACGAGAAGCUUGCUUCUCUGAUGUUAGCGGCGGACGGGUGAGUAACACGUGGAUAACCUACCUAUAAGACUGGGAUAACUUCGGGAAACCGGAGCUAAUACCGGAUAAUAUUU